rnacentral:rRNA from 1 species
UACGGGGGGGAGCAAGCGUUGUUCGGAUUUACUGGGCGUAAAGGGCGCGUAGGCGGCGCAACAAGUCACUUGUGAAAUCUCCGGGCUUAACCCGGAGCGGUCAAGUGAUACUGUCGUGCUAGAGUGCGGAAGGGGCUACUGGAAUUCUCGGUGUAGCGGUGAAAUGCGUAGAUAUCGGGAGGAACACCUGAGGCGAAGGCGGGUUACUGGGCUGAUACUG